GAGAUUUCCCUUAUAAAUGUAAAUGUCUGUCUGGCACCUCCUUACAGGGCCAUCCAAAGAAUGUGGCCAGAGACAGAACUUCUGAUAAGAUGGGCUUGUUGGUGCCUUUUCUAUUGUAACAUCUAUUUUACAUUAUAUUUACAGCCAUCAUGAUAAUAACUCCUUCCUGAAACAGAUCUUUUGUUUUAAAUUCUUUAGGCAGUUAGUGGGGGAGGUCAAAUGUCCUCAGAGAAAACAACCAAGGUACAGAGAUAGAUUUCAGGGUGGCCAAAUCUUGAUCUCCCACAUAGGCAUAUAAGGAUUAUCAAGACUAUGGAAGGGAGUAGAGAAGCUGAGGAGAGGCAAAACAUUGGUAGUAGGGUCCUUUCUGAGACAGGGGCUUGCGCCCCUGGGGGGGAGGUAGUGGUGUGCCUCCUGGCUCCAGGGCAGAGAAAUUUGUCAGGCAGAAGGGUUGAGCAGGGGUGGGAGUGUUUGGCUCUCUCCAGGUGCUGGAAACAGUGGUUUGACUCUGUGAAGUGGGAGGUGGUUCUGAGGUAGCAGAGAGAACCAUGGCUUCAAGGUGUGGAGCAAAGGAGCAGCGCAGGCAGGGGCCUGAUGGAAUGUCAAGUCCCGAAAUUUGGGUUGAUAAAGUUCAUACAGUGGAGGCCGCCCCAGUGGCCCGGCCCAUGUCACAAAUCUAAACCUGUCAGCCUGCACUUACGGGAAACACCUGCCACGUAAACCUAACAUACACCAAUCACAAUCCUCCAAUUCAGCUUCAGCUAGCGACCUUACCCUAGAAAACAGGACCUUCAAGCCUUAUAAGGAAACCCCUGACCUCCCAGCCAAUCAUGCCCUGUGUCCGCGUUGCCUCUUCUAAGGCUCUAUAAAACCCACUCUUGCCCCAAAUCCCUCGGGAGCAGUGCUCCACUGCUUGUGAGGCCUCUACUCCCCCAUCCAUAGAUUGUUUUCCCUUGAAUAAAGGACAUCAAACUCAAGUUGUUUUAUUUUUGUCAUUGACAGGAGGUAAUGGCAGAUGCCGCUAUGGAUAGAUGAACACCAGGACGUGGAGUCUCAGCUACUCCCAUCACCUGGGGACUUAGAAAAAACCUGGGCUAGAGCAAGCGCCCAAAUCAACUGAAAUGACGUUCCUGCAACCCAGAAGAAUGGGCAUUCAAAAUAGAAAUUAAAGCCAUUUAUAGAAAAAGUAAAUUAAAUUGCAUUAUUCAAUUCCACAUAUCUCAUCCAGACCUUGAGAUUUGCCCCCACUCUAAGAUAAUGCAUGUAAGUGCCUGAUAUGUAAUAUGUGCUCAAUAAAUGCUAGCUACUAUUAUUAUUAACUUUGAUCCCAGGACAAGACACUGAAGAAAGUCCUAUUACCUUCUCUUAGAGAACCAAAGAAGGAAAGGGGGUUCACUUUAUUCCUGCCAAGAAACACUCAGGGCUCCAGCUCCUGCUUUGAUGAAGAAGGCAGCCACUCCUGAAUAGCUGAAUGGUCUUUAUUAGAGAAGACCUUGACCUUGAUAAGCUCGAGAGAAGGUGGUGGGCCCCAGAAAUGCCUGGCCAGUUCUGGCCACCAGCAGGCUCUAGUUUACCGGGCUCUUGCUGUCUCUAGGCUUCAUCCUCAGGAUAAGAACUGCUUCAUGAAAACCAGAAGACUGGAAACUCUUGGAAGUGAGUGGCUGGAGGGGGAGACUGCCGGUCUUUGAUCGGCUCCUUGUGCCGAUC